rnacentral:rRNA from 1 species
GAUGAACGCUGGCGGCGUGCCUAACACAUGCAAGUCGAGCGAUUCUCUUCGGAGAAGAGCGGCGGACGGGUGAGUAACGCGUGGGUAACCUGCCUUGUACACACGGAUAACAUACCGAAAGGUAUACUAAUACGGGAUAAUGUGCUUUUAUCGCAUGGUAAAAGUAUCAAAGCUCUGGCGGUACAGGAUGGACCCGCGUCUGAUUAGCUAGUUGGUAAGGUAAUGGCUUACCAAGGCGACGAUCAGUAGCCGACCUGAGAGGGUGAUCGGCCACAUUGGAACUGAGACACGGUCCAAACUCCUACGGGAGGCAGCAGUGGGGAAUAUUGCACAAUGGGCGAAAGCCUGAUGCGGCAACGCCGCGUGAGCGAUGAAGGCCUUCGGGUCGUAAAGCUCUGUCCUCAAGGAAGAUAAUGACGGUACUUGAGGAGGAAGCCCCGGCUAACUACGUGCCAGCCGCCGCCGUAAGAC